rnacentral:rRNA from 1 species
CAAUAGCGUAUAUUAAUGUUGUUGCAGUUAAAAAGCUCGUAGUUGGAUUUCUGGUGGAAGCGACCGGUCCGCCCCUCACGGGGUGUGCACUAGCGUCUGUCUUUUGCCAUCCUUGCGAAGAAGCGGUGUGGCAUUAAGUUGUCGCGCCGUCUGACUCGCAUCGUUUACUGUGAAAAAAUUAGAGUGUUUAAAGCAGGCAAUUGCUGUGAAUACAUUAGCAUGGAAUAAUAAGAUAGGACUUUGGUACUAUUUUGUUGGUUUGCAUAUCAAAGUAAUGAUUAACAGGGACAGUUGGGGGUAUUCGUAUUUCGUUGUCAGAGGUGAAAUUCUUGGAUUUAUGAAAGACGAACUACUGCGAAAGCAUUUACCAAGGAUGUUUNCAUUAA